UUGGGGUUCGAUUAAGCCAUGCGAGUCGAGAGGUGCAAGACCUCGGCAUACUGCUCAGUAACACGUGGACAAUCUAACCUAAGGUGGGGGAUAACCCCGGGAAACUGGGGAUAAUACCCCAUAGACUAUGGAAGCUGGAAUGCUCUGUAGUUCAAAGGUUCACCGCCUUAGGAUGGGUCUGCGGCCGAUUAGGUUGUUGUUGGGGUAACGGCCCAACAAGCCUGUAAUCGGUACGGGUUGUGGGAGCAAGAGCCCGGAGAUGGAUUCUGAGACACGAAUCCAGGCCCUACGGGGCGCAGCAUGCGCGAAAACUUUACAAUGCGGGAAACCGUGAUAGGGGAACUCUGAGUGCCCGUUAAAUCGGGCUGUCCAUCAGUUUAAACAACUGGUGAAGAAAGGGCCGGGCAAGACCGGUGCCAGCCGCCGCGGUAAUACCGGCGGCUCGAGUGGUGGCCACUAUUACUGGGCUUAAAGCGUUCGUAGCUGGUUUGUUAAGUCUCUGGGGAAAUCUUCCGGCUUAACCGGAAGGCGUCUCAGGGAUACUGGCAAACUAGGGACCGGGAGAGGUGAGGGGUACUCCAGGGGUAGGAGUGAAAUCCUGUAAUCCUUGGGAGACCACCUGUGGCGAAGGCGCCUCACCAGAACGGCUCCGACAGUGAGGGACGAAAGCUGGGGGAGCAAACCGGAUUAGAUACCCGGGUAGUCCCAGCCGUAAACGAUGUGCGUUAGGUGUAUCGGUGACCACGAGUCACCGAGGUGCCGAAGAGAAAUCGUGAAACGUACCGCCUGGGAAGUACGGUCGCAAAGCUGAAACUA
rnacentral:rRNA from 1 species